ensembl:lncRNA
UGCGAUUACAGCUGUAAGUCGCUUGGGGUAUGUCUCUAUCAGUUUUGCACAUCGAGAGACUGACAUUUUUUCCCAUUCCUCCUUGCAAAACAGCUCGAGCUCAGUGAGGUUGGAUGGAGAGCAUUUGUGAACAGCAGUUUUCAGUUCUUUCCAUAGAUUCUCGAUUGGAUUCAGGUCUAGCCAAUAGCUAGUCUGAGAUAUGGCUUUUUCUUUGCAACUCUGCCUAGAAGGCCAGCAUCCCGGAGUCACCUCUUCACUGUUAACGUUGAGACUGGUGUUUUGCGGGUACUAUUUAAUGAAGCUGCCAGUUGAGGACUUAUGAGGCAUUUGUUUACUAAACUAUUGCUUAUUUAAUCAGAGCAACAGUUUCCAGCUGUGCGAACAUAAUUACAAAAGGGUUUUCUAAUGAUCAAUUAGCCUUUUAAAAUGAUAAACUUGGAUUAGCAAACUCAACCUGCCAUUGGAACACAGGAGUGAUGGUUGCUGAUAAUGGGCCUAUGUAGAUAUUCAAUUUAAAAAUCUGCCGUUUCCAGCUACAAUAGUAAUUUACACCAUUAACAAUGUCUACACUGUAUUUAUGAUCAAUUUGAUAUUAUUUUAAUGGACACAAAAAAAUGUGCUUUUCUUUAAAAAACAAAGACUUUUCUAAGUGACCCCAAACUUUUGAACAGAAGAGUAUAUUGGAGGCAGGCAAAUACCUUUCACUGAGCUGUUUAAAGACAGACUGACAGGGAUUAGAAUUAAUUGUAAUUUAUCUUUCUGUUCUUUUGUUGUUUGGUGCACUAUCCUUCUGACCCUAUGCAGCCAAGUCCCAUUUACUUUUUAAACCCUCGCAGGAAUGGCUUGUUUGGUGUCUGCUGUGAAGGAAUACUACAACAAGUAAACUACUUGAUUGAUGAAGGCAUGUCAUCGACUACAUGCACCAUUUCUUCACUAACUACUGAUUUGGGGAAACACGUGUGGACCUGAAUUGUGAUAAUUGCAGUGGCCAAAACAAGAACAAGUUUGUGCUCUAGUAUAGUGCCUGGCGUACCAUGCACAAGCUCCACCACAGUCUGGACCUUCACUUCCUGAUCAUAGGCAACACCAAGUUUGCCCCCGACUUGCUUCGGCCUCAUCAAGCAACGCUUUCGAAAGACCAGAGUGAACACUUUGUCUGAGAUUGCUGGUGUUGUGAAGGACAGCACUGUGAUGGGUCAACAUCCCAUAGCUGGUUGGACUGGAGGAUGAUACGGUGCUGGUGGAAAGCUAUGGCUGGCAACAACACCUGACUCCGUACUUCAGGCCUCUUUCACAGAUCAAGCAGUGCCAGCACUUCAGCUUCUAUGUUCUGGAGCCUGGUGUUGAUGUUGCCAAGGAGCGUUCGGACUCAGUUGGGACCAGGUUGCAGCUGGAGGGGUGGAUUGUGGAUUUUGCUCAAUGGGAAAGUUUAUUAAAUAAACUACACUUUCCGAUUGAGCAAAAUCCACCGUCCACGCCUCUAAAGAUAACCUGGCUCUUUUCUACAAAAUUCGACCAGGUCCACGUUUGAAUACAUGGCUGAAGAGAUGCAUUUUGGUUUAGCCAGCCAUCUACACACACAGACAAACAUACAGUUUCAACCCCAGCCACAGGGCUGUAUACAGAAACAUUGACCUCCAUCGUGACCAAAACUAUUAUUUUCCCAUAAGCUUGUUCUAUCUACAGUAUGACAGCACCAGCAGUUAGCUACCAACAGUUGAUAGACAUGUUAAAUUGGCUACUUUCGCAUUAAUCAGUGAUAUUUAGAUGGAAGAUGUUAGCUAAAUGCGGUAGCUCCAUAGCUAGCUAACAUUAACAUAGAGGUAUUAAGCUGGCCCUUUCACUUCCCGAUGAAGCCCUGAUCAUGCUCUGUUUCAGCUGCUGGCUGUUUGUGAUACUUUAUAAGCCAAAUUGUUGGUAGGGACAGCAUCCAUUUUGAAAAGCAAGAUUUUUCUAAAGCCCUUCCAUUGUUGAUAACCAUUGAAGUUCUCAAGGAUGAAAUGUGCCCCACAGAUUGACGGGUAGUUGCCCAAUUCGCCCGCCUCAUUCUCACAAAUGCGUCCACUUUUAUGAAGUGUUUCAUUUGCAUGGCCAUAGAGGCAUACUGAUCACGCUCUCUGCAGCCGAUGGGUGUAAGACCUUUAAACAGGUCAACAUUCACAAGGUCGCAGGGCCAGAGGGAUUACCAGGACGUGUGCUGCGAGCAUGCGCUGACCAACUGACAAGUGUUUUCACUGACAUUUUCAACCUCUCCAUGUCUGAGUCUGUAAUGCCAACAUGUUUUAAGAAGACCACUGUCAUAACUCUCCUGUGAUGAUCUGAAGGAUCAGGUUACAGUGGGUUCACUCUACAGCGUGCUCUCUCUUGUAGAGAGGGAGAGCGGGAAGUCAGCUGUUUUAUGGCGGUCAUAAAAUACGCUGCUUCUAUGCUCUGUAAUGUUCAAGAUUGGAAUGUAAACUGUGGAACACAGAGAGACCCUUGGACAUCAAAAGUUUGAAUAAUUAAACAAUAUUUCUAUUUUUGAGAAUGUGGGAGUGGUCCGUGGACACUUAUUAAGGGACAGUCAUGAUGAGUGUGUUUCAUGAGGAUGGUGAUCUCAUGAGGAAAAGAAACACUCAUUACUCUGUCUUUGGUUGUGUACACUUCUUAAUGAUGGGGUUUACAUCUAAAUAUUGUGGAACGUAUAUGAUUAAACAUGAAGCUAUUUGUGAAAACAUUUAAUGUGAUGUUAACCUUCUAAAUGAGCAAAUAUGGGUUAAAGUUAACCAAGUCAGUGGUCACGCCCAAGUGAGCAUAGACAUUAAGUCGGUGUCACGGACCGCCCUUUUCUCAGUGAAUAUAAAUCCCACUCCUGACGAAAUUUACAUUCGAAUAGAAACCAUGGAGCUGACGUUACAUGUUGAAAUGGUUAAGAACUACAACUCUAUAGGCCCAGGAGACCAUACAGCGUGUAGUGUUGGCUACAUGGCUGGAAAUGGUUCAACUCUGAGACUAUCGAUCACUGCAGAAUAAGAGCAAAUCCUAGAAGUAGAAUUACUGGUCUGCAGCUGGAAAUGACGUAAGUCUAGUAAGAGAAUACCGACAACCGCGGAAGCAUCUCUUCUAUGUAACAACCAUCUGACGUAUCCAUUACAACAGACACUAUCCAGAGCCGCUGAGAAAGCUACAAACACGUAAGACAUUGUGAUUUCUGGGGAAGUUAACCAGAGACUCUCUGAACUGACUCUCCAGCAGACGGACCGGCGGUUCCAACAGAGAGACAGCAACGACAUAUGGGCAUAAAUAUAUACAUUGCAAUUGUUUUUGAAUGAGUGGCCAUUCAUGUGUAAAGGAUUAGCAUUUCAAUGAAUAUAAUUAUCAACUGUGUGUAAUGAGUCCACUCCCGCUCUUUCUCUGUCCCCACCCCUUCCAUUGUCUACCAAGCCAUCAUACUGGUUUAGCCCACUAGGGACUUUUCAAUGCAUUGUGUUAGUAACCAAUAACUAUAUUGUUUGUUUCAUGUAUUUCUGUGACUUGAUUAGUUAGUUAGUAAAUAAAUAAUUAAA